GGAAGUAAAAUCGUAACAAGGUUUCCGUAGGUGAACCUGCGGAAGGAUCAUUGUAGGAUUGUUUUGGGAGGGGUGGUUGUGAUUUGUGGGGAUUGUGUGUGGUUGUUUGGAUUGCUUGGAUUGCCUGGAUUGCCUGGCUGUCUGCAACUCGACUCGUCUCUUCACAACCACUCUUUACACUGGCACAGACCAGUGGUCUGGUGUUUGGAGCAACAGACCACUGGUGUCUGAUGUUUGCGCUUGCUCGUUUGACAGAAACAAUACCAUAUCAUAUUAUCAUUGCAAAACUUUUAACAAUGGAUCUCUUGGCUCUU
rnacentral:misc_RNA from 1 species